CAAUACAUUUCCUUUUUCACAGAAUCUUUUCCUUCAGCAACAGAAAGGAUUAUGGUGGCAUCUUCUUUUUUCUCUCUCAAAGCUGAGAGACAAGUGCUUGCUGCCCAAAGAGAGUAUGGCAACUUCCUGUAGUCUUGGCUGCAAAUGGUUAUAUACCCAAUUUGUUGACCUGCAUUUUCUAUAUUUUAAUGAUGUAAGUAAAGAUAUAAAAUUUCCCUGGAGUAUUGCUUCAGCUGUAUUCCCAAAUUAUGAUAUGUUGUCUCCUAAUUAUUGCUCUCAUCUCUCAUCAACAAAAUUAUUGAUUGUUUCUAUAAUUUAUUCUUUGACCCACCCAUUUUUAGCAUCAGAUUAG
rnacentral:lncRNA from 1 species